rnacentral:rRNA from 1 species
AUUGAACGCUGGCGGCAUGCUUUACACAUGCAAGUCGAACGGCAGCGCGGGCUUCGGCCUGGCGGCGAGUGGCGAACGGGUGAGUAAUACAUCGGAACGUGCCCAGUAGUGGGGGAUAGCUCGGCGAAAGCCGGAUUAAUACCGCAUACGACCUGAGGGUGAAAGCGGGGGAUCUUCGGACCUCGCGCUAUUGGAGCGGCCGAUGGCAGAUUAGCUAGUUGGUGGGGUAAAGGCCUACCAAGGCGACGAUCUGUAGCUGGUCUGAGAGGACGACCAGCCACACUGGGACUGAGACACGGCCCAGACUCCUACGGGAGGCAGCAGUGGGGAAUUUUGGACAAUGGGAGAAAGCCUGAUCCAGCAAUGCCGCGUGUGUGAUGAAGGCCUUCGGGUUGUAAAGCACUUUUGGCGGGAACGAAAAGGACUGUGCCAAUACCACGGUUCGAUGACGGUACCCGCAGAAUAAGCACCGGCUAACUACGUG